GAUGAACGCUGGCGGCGUGCCUAAUACAUGCAAGUCGAGCGAACAGACGAGGAGCUUGCUCCUCUGACGUUAGCGGCGGACGGGUGAGUAACACGUGGAUAACCUACCUAUAAGACUGGGAUAACUUCGGGAAACCGGAGCUAAUACCGGAUAAUAUAUUGAACCGCAUGGUUCAAUAGUGAAAGACGGUUUUGCUGUCACUUAUAGAUGGAUCCGCGCCGCAUUAGCUAGUUGGUAAGGUAACGGCUUACCAAGGCGACGAUGCGUAGCCGACCUGAGAGGGUGAUCGGCCACACAGGAACUGAGACACGGUCCAGACUCCUACGGGAGGCAGCAGUAGGGAAUCUUCCGCAAAGGGCGAAAGCCAGACGGAGCAACGCCGCGUGAGUGAUGAAGGUCUUCGGAUCGUAAAACUCUGUUAUUAGGGAAGAACAAAUGUGUAAGUAACUAUGCACGUCUUGACGGUACCUAAUCAGAAAGCCACGGCUAACUACGUG
rnacentral:rRNA from 1 species